rnacentral:lncRNA from 1 species
GCACUUUGCAGAUCACAGGAGAUCACUGAGGUCCCUACCUUUUUACUCUGCCAGGGAAUGAUUUUGCCUUAGGCAUGGCAACUAGAUUAUUCCCAAACCAACACAGCCACUUACCUGCAUUGGAGAUGCAGUGUCUGGCCUGCUUGCAUGAUGUGCUGGGUGCCUUUUAAACUCAGUUCAGGAUCUUUUAAUUUUGAACCUGAACUAGAUCCUGAAAAACAAAUUUUUAAAAUGUAUUAUUUGUAAAUUGUCUUCUUACCUUUUUUUAAGUUAUCUUUCCAUGAAGGUGAGUUUUUCAUUUUUAAUUUAUUUACAUCUUUAAUUUACUUGUAUCUUUAAUUUAUAAGCAAAAGAUACACUAAUACAAAUUUCUCUUAAUUCACAAAUUUUUUCUAGCUCUACCCUUGCUCAUAAAUAUUAUAUAUCCUUUUAUACCAAAUGACCUAAAUAACAUCCAAAAGCCUAUUUAUGUAGAAUGGUAAUGGAUUCAUAUAGGUUCAAUGAAAUUAUAUUAAAAUAUAUAACUAGUUAUAAUAUUCAAAUAUGCAAUAACUUAGUAAAAACUCUCAAGAAUAAAUGUCAGUGUCAUCCAAAAUAUAUUUUCAAUACUGAACUUUUUCCAGUGUGGGUCAUCUAGUCCUAUAGGCCUGUCUCAUCUUUUUUUCUGAAUAAAAAGUACAGAAAUUUUCCUGGGCUCUGAAUUUCAUGCAAUCAUUAGUUGAGCAAUGAUAUUUUUGGCCAAUCAUUUCCCUUUCUGAACCAGUUUCCUCAUUUGGAAAACUAAUUAUAGAAUCAAAAUCAGUUUUAGAAGACAUUUGGUUUGUCUUACGUAAUCUAUGAGUUCCCUCUACAAUGGUACAGUCAAAAGGGAACUGUUCACACGCUUACGUGACAUUCGACAAACAUCUCGGAGGAUUGUUGUGAGGCAAUAAAGUGAGGUGGUGAAAGUGCUUUAAAAUCUACACAUCUCCAUAUGAUGCAAUAAUGACAUCCAUUUUAGUGACUAGCUGUAUCACCCUAGACAAGUCAUCUCUCUUUCCAGAUCUCAGUUAUCUUAUCUGUAAAAAAGAGAUUGGACUAGACGACCUUGAAAUCUCUGACCUUCCAUUUCUCACAGUCCCAGCCUGAUAUAGCUUGGAUGCUGACCCUCCAAUUCUGAUGGUGAAUUGUAAUCCUCAAUGUUGGAGGUGGGGCCUGAUGGGAGGUGUUUGGGUCGUGGGGGUGGAUCCCUCAUGCAUGGCAUGGUGCUGUUGUUUAGAUCUGAUUAUCUGAAAGUGUGUGGCACCUCCCCCCUUCUCUUGUUCCUGCUGCCACCAUGUGAUACACCUGCUCCUGUUUUGCCUUUGACAUGAGUAAGGGCUCCCUGAGGCCUCACUGGAAGGCAAGCAGAUGCUAGCACCAUGCUUGUACAGCCUGGAGAACUGUGAGUCAAUUAUACCUCUUAAUAAAUUACCAAGCCUCAGAUAUUUCUUUACAGCAAUGUAAGAACAGCCUAACAGACAGCCUCAUGAUUUUUUGAACCAUAGGUGCUACAGAGGCUGAGCCUCCCUUGAAGCUAUUACUGACCAAUCAGAAUACUAUCACUAAGGAUCUCUCUCGCCUCCUUCCUCCCCUCAUCCCUCAGUCUCUCUUCUCCUUCUCCCUCUUCUUCACCAGCCUCCUCCUCCUCCCCUCUUCCCAGGCAGCUGCAAUGCCUCCGAAAGGCAGGGAAUGAGGGGCCCAGGAUUAGCGUUCCUUAGGCGGGAAUAGAAGUUAGCAGGAGAGAGGAAAGAAAUUCUUGGAGGGAGGAAAACUUAGUAUUUGGCACCAAUCUCAGGGUAUAGUUUUCUUUAAAAAAUCAGUUUAAACAGUGGAAGCAAAGGUAGAAGCUCUAAGUGAAUGGUCAUGGAGGGUUUACCAUUAGGUCACAGAUCUGUGAGAUGAUGUGUGUGUCAAAUACCCUGGUUAUGCCCAGCAGUCCUCUCCAGCGUUUCUCUUGGAUUUGACUAUCUCAAAAACUGGAUUCAGUUAGAAGAUCUGCGUUUGAGGCUUAGCUUUUCCACCUACUGACUGCAUGACCUUGGCAUCACUUAAUUGGCUGCUCCUCAGGCUCCUCGUGAGUGGAACUGGAAAGCCUACGAGCCACCUCACAGGCAGGGUGUGUGCAUUCGGUGCUGUGCUGUGGAAGAGGCUGGCUUGCUGCCUGGCACGUGGCAGAUGCCCACUAUCACCAACAUCUAGGGGAAUCACUUCCCCUCCCCCUGCUUCUGUCAGAAUAUUUUGCUGGGUAUAUAAUUUCAAAGAUACUAAAUUAACAUAUGCUUUUCUGGUAUUGCUGAUGAUAUAAAUUAAUAUCUUUUAAAUUUUUAUUUUAUUUUAUUUUUGAGACAGAGUUUCACUUUGUUUCCCAGGCUGGAGUGCCUUGGUGCGAUCUUGACUCACUCUGCAACCUCUGCCUGCCAGGUUCAAGCGAUUCUCGUGCCUCAGCCUCCUGAGUAGCUGGGACUACAGGUGCGCAUCAUCAGCGUGGCUAAUUUUUUGUAUUUUUAGUAGAGAUGGGGUUUCGUCAUGUUUGCCAGGCUGGUCUUGAACUCCUGACCUCAGGUGAUCCACCUGCCUCGGCCUCCCAAAGUGUUGAGAUUAGAGGCAUGAGCCCAGCCUAAAUUAAUAUAUUAAAAGUAAUUUUUACAGACAGUAGAUCCCGGUAUCAAAGUACUCCUAAAUAAAAUGGCUGAAUAUUAACUAAAUUAAAAUCCCUGUUUCAUAUGGAUCCCAUUGGUCUAUCAAACAACCUCCUAGAUCAAGUCAACCCCUUCAGGUACCUAGGAAUGUAUUUUAACUCAUACUUAUCUUUAUGAGUUUCUUGAGGCAACAUGUGGCCCAAAAUCAGGGAUCUGUGGAAACGCCAGACUUUUCUAAAGCCACAGCCAGCAAUGGAUAACACCUGCCCUGAGAAACUUCCAUGCCAGAAUAGUUUCUGCCCUUCUUUAUGGCAUGGAACUCUGGGGAUUUAAUUGAGCAAUUGUUCAUGUGCUGGAAAAGAUCCAUCGAAGCUUCCUGUGGAAACUUCUGGCAUUACUUGUAGUUAUCUCUGUGGUCUGUCUGGAGAUGCUGAGCGCUCCCGUCCAGGAAAAGAAGCAGUUCCCCUGUUUGUGACAUCCCACUGCCUACAUCUUGGUUUCCAGACCACAUGAAUCUUUCUUUAUCAGCAACUUAGAACACCAGUACUCCUGACCCUCAUCAGAGGAAACCGCUAACUUCAAAGAACCACCCAAAGCCCAGCUGAGAGAAGUGCUAUUUAUUUAUUUAUUUACUUAUUUUUGAGAUGGAGUUUUGCUCUUGUCGCCCAGGCUGGAGUGCAAUGGCACAAUCUCAGCUCACUGCAGCCUCCGCCUCCUGGGUUCAAGCGAUUCUCCUGCCUCAGCCUUCCAAGUAGCUGUGAUUACAGGCGCCUGCCACCAC